GAUGAACGCUAGCGGGAGGCCUAACACAUGCAAGUCGAGCGGGAAUCCCUUUCGGGGGAUGAGAGCGGCGCACGGGUGAGUAACGCGUAUGCAACCUGCCCCGGACAGGGGGAUAGCCCGGAGAAAUCCGGAUUAAUACCCCAUAUGAUUAAUUAUUCGCAUGACUAAUUGAUCAAAGCUACGGCGGUUCGGGAUGGGCAUGCGUGACAUUAGCUGGUUGGUGAGGUAACGGCUCACCAAGGCUGCGAUGUCUAGGGGUUCUGAGAGGAUGAUCCCCCACACUGGUACUGAGACACGGACCAGACUCCUACGGGAGGCAGCAGUGAGGAAUAUUGGUCAAUGGGCGCAAGCCUGAACCAGCCAUCCCGCGUGAAGGAAGACGGCCCUAUGGGUUGUAAACUUCUUUUGUACAUGAAGAAAGGGACCUACGGGUAGGUUCGUGACGGUAAUGUACGAAUAAGCAUCGGCUAACUCCGUG
rnacentral:rRNA from 1 species